rnacentral:rRNA from 1 species
CCCUGGCUCAGGAUGAACGCUGGCGGCGUGCCUAAUACAUGCAAGUCGAGCGAAUGGAUUAAGAGCUUGCUCUUAUGAAGUUAGCGGCGGACGGGUGAGUAACACGUGGGUAACCUACCCAUAAGACUGGGAUAACUCCGGGAAACCGGGGCUAAUACCGGAUAAUAUUUUGAACUGCAUAGUUCGAAAUUGAAAGGCGGCUUCGGCUGUCACUUAUGGAUGGACCCGCGUCGCAUUAGCUAGUUGGUGAGGUAACGGCUCACCAAGGCGACGAUGCGUAGCCGACCUGAGAGGGUGAUCGGCCACACUGGGACUGAGACACGGCCCAGACUCCUACGGGAGGCAGCAGUAGGGAAUCUUCCGCAAUGGACGAAAGUCUGACGGAGCAACGCCGCGUGAGUGAUGAAGGCUUUCGGGUCGUAAAACUCUGUUGUUAGGGAAGAACAAGUGCUAGUUGAAUAAGCUGGCACCUUGACGGUACCUAACCAGAAAGCCACGGCUAA